GAUGAACGCUGGCGGCGUGCCUAAUACAUGCAAGUCGAGCGAACGGACGAGAAGCUUGCUUCUCUGAUGUUAGCGGCGGACGGGUGGGUAACACGUGGAUAACCUACCUAUAAGACUGGGAUAACUUCGGGAAACCGGAGCUAAUACCGGAUAAUAUUUUGAACCGCAUGGUUCAAAAGUGAAAGACGGUCUUGCUGUCACUUAUAGAUGGAUCCGCGCUGCAUUAGCUAGUUGGUAAGGUAACGGCUUACCAAGGCAACGAUGCAUAUCCGACCUGAGAGCGUGCUCGUCCACACUGGAACUGAGACACGGUCCAGACUCCUUCGGGAGGCAGCAGUAGGGAAUCUUCCGCAAUGGGCGGAAGCCGGACGGAGCAACGCCGCGUGAGUGAUGAAGGUCUUCGGAUCGUAAAACUCUGUUAUUAGGGAAGAACAGAUGUGUAAGUAACUGUGCACAUCUUGACGGUACCUAAUCAGAAAGCCACGGCUAACUACGUG
rnacentral:rRNA from 1 species